rnacentral:rRNA from 1 species
CCAGCGAUUUAAGGUGGGGACGUCAGAUGAGACUGCCGGUGACAAACCGGAGGAAGUGGGGACGACGUCAAGUCAUCAUGGCCCUACUGUCCUGGGCUACACACGUGCUACAAUGGCCGGUACAGAGUGAAGCGAAACCGCGAGGUGAAGCAAAACGCAGAAAGCCGGUCUCAGUACGGAUUGGAGUCUGAAACUCGACUUCAUGAAGUUGGAAUCGCUAGUAAUCGCGCAUCAGCAUGGCGCGGUGAAUACGUUCCCGGGCCUU